UACGAAGGGGGCUAGCGUUGCUCGGAAUGACUGGGCGUAAAGGGCGCGUAGGCGGCUUGCACCGUCAGAUGUGAAAUUCCUGGGCUUAACCUGGGGGCUGCAUUUGGAUACGUGUGGGCUUGAGUGCGGAAGAGGGUCGUGGAAUUCCCGAGUGUAGAGGUGAAAUUCGUAGAUAUUGGGAAGAACACCGGUGGCGAAGGCGGCGACCUGGUCCGUGACUGACGCUGAGGCGCGAAGCGUGGGGAGCAACAGG
rnacentral:rRNA from 1 species